rnacentral:rRNA from 1 species
CCUACGGGCGGCAGCAGUGAGGAAUAUUGGUCAAUGGUCGGGAGACUGAACCAGCCAAGCCGCGUGAGGGAUGAAGGUACAGAGUAUCGUAAACCUCUUUUGUCAGGGAACAAAGGCGGGGACGUGUCCCCGGAUGAGUGUACCUGAAGAAAAAGCAUCGACUAACUCCGUGCCAGCAGCCGCGGUAAUACGGAGGAUGCGAGCGUUAUCCGGAUUUAUUGGGUUUAAAGGGUGCGCAGGCGGUCUGUUAAGUCAGCGGUCAAAGCCCGGGGCUCAACCCCGGCCCGCCGUUGAAACUGGCAGUCGCGAGUUGGAGAGAAGUAUGCGGAAUGCGCGGUGUAGCGGUGAAAUGCAUAGAUAUCGCGCAGAACUCCGAUUGCGAAGGCAGCAUGCCGGCUCCACACUGACGCUGAGGCACGAAAGCGUGGGUAUCGAACAGGAUUAGAUACCCUUGUAGUC